UUUCUCAACAUUUCUUUCAGCUGAGAACAUAGUAUAACUGCUUGCACUGAGGAAAUUUGCGUAAUCACUUUGUAAGGGUCUGGAAAGGAACAUUUGUAUCAGCAUGAUUAUGAAGUGCAGAAAUUUCACAGCAUGUGUCACAGAAAACUUGGUAUGGAUGUCUUCAAAUCUGAGAUUGUGGACAGUGGAACUGGCAGAAGCAGGAAACCUGUUAUUUAAGAGGACAGCUAACUAAGCACUACAGUGAUCUGGUACUCUAGUUGAUCAAAGAUUCAAAAUGUUCAACAAUCUCCACAGCAUCCGAGCAAACUUGCUUUACCAUCUGCGUAGUGUACGAUGACAAACCAUAUGAUAGCAGGGCUCCCUGGGACAGUAGUGGAGUUGAUAUUGACAGAUUUCCAGAUGCUGAGUCAUUCCAACUGUUUGUGUUGACAUAAGUUAUCUGUAAUUAUCAUGCUAAGAGUGCAAUAGACUAACCUGAACAUGGUAUUCCACGCACCCGAAUUCAUACAAGUGAUGAUCAAUCUCCACAGGCUUCUCAGCACUAUCAUGAAAGGAACAGAAUCAAUUUUCAUCAUCGUUUUUGUUGAUCAUCCAUGCAACUUGAGAUGCAUGUUUGCUUACUUGGAAUGUGAAGGAGAAGAAAGCAAUUUCAAAACUGACCAGAGCAAUGAAAGCCUACUAUUUUCAAGAAGUUACCUUUGAACAAAGAAAUUCAAUCAUCUCAGAUAUGAUAAAUGAGGAUUAGCAACAAGUAAAAUUCUACCUUGAGAAUCUUGAUGGAUCAAAAGUGCUUACUGGUAUAACUUGAGCAGGAUCUCCUUGAGUGCAGGGGACACCCUCUCAAAGCAUGCCAUGUUGAAGAAUCCUCUAUCAAGUUCUAACUCGCAUGGUGGUGGAAAUGAACUGAGAUAUAGAACUUCAAAUCCACAGGUUUUGUCUAUAUCUGUGAACUUCGAGUAGAAAGCAAGUUGAAAUCUUGCAAUCAUUUUGAGCAACCCAUGAAGCAAGUACCUACCGUUAUUUCCCUCUCAUCUCUCCAUCUUUCUGCUUUGUCACUAUGUUGUUUGUAAAGUACGCUAAAUCGAUCACCUGCCAACAUCCUCCUACUAUAAGCUUCUGUUUGAUUUUCCUA